AUUGAACGCUGGCGGCAUGCUUUACACAUGCAAGUCGAACGGCAGCGCGGGCUUCGGCCUGGCGGCGAGUGGCGCACGGGUGAGUAAUACAUCGGAACGUGCCCAGUUGUGGGGGAUAGCUCGGCGAAAGCCGGAUUAAUACCGCAUACGACCUGCGGGUGAAAGCGGGGGAUCUUCGGACCUCGCGCUCUUGGGGCGGCCGAUUGCAGAGUAGCUAGUUGGUGGGGUAAAGGCCUACCAAGGCGACGAUCUGUAGCUGGUCUGAGAGGACGACCAGCCACACUGGGACUGAGACACGGCCCAGACUCCUACGGGAGGCAGCAGUGGGGAAUGUUGGACAAUGGGCGGAAGCCUGAUCCAGCAAUGCCGCGUGUGUGAUGAAGGCCUUCGGGUUGUAAAGCACUUUUGGCGGGAACGAAAAGGACUGUGCCAAUACCACGGUUCGAUGACGGUACCCGCAGAAUAAGCACCGGCUAACUACGUG
rnacentral:rRNA from 1 species